rnacentral:rRNA from 1 species
ACUCAAAUGAAUUGACGGGGGCCCGCACAAGCAGUGGAGUAUGUGGUUUAAUUCGAAGCAACGCGAAGAACCUUACCAAGCCUUGACAUCUCCUGCAUAACCUGGAGACAGGUGAAGUCCCUCGGGACAGGAAGACAGGUGGUGCAUGGUUGUCGUCAGCUCGUGUCGUGAGAUGUUGGGUUAAGUCCCGCAACGAGCGCAACCCUUACUGAUAGUUACUACGCGAAGAGGACUCUAUCGGGACUGCCGUUGACAAAACGGAGGAAGGUGGGGACGAUGUCAAAUCAUCAUGCCCUUUAUGGCUUGGGCUACACACGUACUACAAUGGUCGUAAACAGAAGGGACCGAAGGGGCGACCCGGAGGGAAUCCACUAAAAGCGGCCUCAGUUCGGAUUGGAGGCUGCAACCCGCCUCCAUGAAGUCGGAAUUGCUAGUAAUCGCGGAUCAUCAUGCCGCGGUGAAUACGUUCCCGGGCCUUGUACACACCGCCCGU